rnacentral:rRNA from 1 species
UACAGAGGGGGCAAGCGUUGUUCGGAAUUACUGGGCGUAAAGGGCGCGUAGGCGGCCUUCUAAGUCGAACGUGAAAUCCCCGGGCUCAACCGGGGAACUGCGUCUGAUACUGGAUGGCUUGAGUUCGGGAGAGGGAUGCGGAAUUCCAGGUGUAGCGGUGAAAUGCGUAGAUAUCUGGAGGAACACCGGUGGCGAAGGCGGCAUCCUGGACCGACACUGACACUGAGGAGCGAAAGCCAGGGGAGCAAACGGG